rnacentral:rRNA from 1 species
GAUGAACGCUGGCGGCGUGCCUAAUACAUGCAAGUCGAGCGGUAAGGCCCUUCGGGGUACACGAGCGGCGGACGGCUGAGUAACACGUAGGAACGUACCCCAAACUGAGGGAUAAGCACCAGAAAUGGUGUCUAAUACCGCAUGUGAUCUUCGGAUUAAAGCUCCGGCGGUUUGGGAACGGCCUGCGCAUGAUUAGCUUGUUGGUGAGGUAAUAGCUCACCAAGGCGACGAUCAUUAGCUGGUCUGAGAGGAUGACCAGCCAGACUGGAACUGAGAACGGUCCAGACUCCUACGGGAGGCAGCAGUAGGGAAUUUUCCACAAUGGGCGAAAGCCUGAUGGAGCAACGCCGCGUGCAGGAUGAAUGUCUUCGGAUUGUAAACUGCUUUUAUAUGUGACGAUAAUGACGGUAGCAUAUGAAUAAGGAUCGGCUAACUCCGUGCCAGCAGCCGCGGUAAGCUCGUCUCUA